AGGUUCCACAGCAUGGUCAGUCAAUGAGGACAUCAGCACAGUACAAUAACAUGAGCUCUUUCUACUCUGAGGGGGCCUUAUUCAUCCCUGCGGCCUUGAAAGUGUAUAGCAUCAAAAUGAUGGCUACAAUGGCCUAUGCUGCUCCUUUAUGGGCUGCCUUUGCAAACCUCUCACCUUUAGAGACACUUCAAAGCCAAUUCUUACGCCGACUUUUAAAAUUACCAACAUGCGUAAGUAAUGCGGCCAUUCGCUUAGAAAUGAAGAUCCCCUCAGUGGAGUUAGUCAUAUGGAGGAGAGUUUUGAUCUAUUGGAUAUCCCUAUGGCAUAAACUCCCGAACCACUAUCUAAUUCAAUGCAUGUGGCGGGAUGACUUCACAAAUUUGUGGUCAGGAAAAAUCCAUGCCAAAUUGCUGUCCUAUGAGAUCUCGCCCACUGAAUUGCUCAAACUGGAUCUAAAUGUGGCAAAAAGGUGUAUAAAUCAAAGGCUGGAUGAUGCGGAGCUAUACCAAAAUUUCGUAGCUGGUGGUGGAGCCUGCUCGCCGUUAAAUUUCGGCAUAACCCCUAUCUACCGCGCUCCGUCCUACUUAACAUCGCUUAUGGCUGCGUCUCACCGUUAUGCCUUCAUUAGAGCUAGGUUCAAUGUUUUUCCAACAAACGUGCUGAGACAUAGAUUCACUAAGGGCCAAGUCCCUUCAAUGUGUGCUUGUGAAAUGAAAACAUCUGAAUCUCUACAUCAUGUUAUGUUUAUCUGCCCUUUGUACAGUUCAGCCCGUGCUAGUAUUCUAAACCCCAUAAUCCAGCCUAUGGCUGACAAACCAGUAGACCUACAGCUUGCCUGGGUACUUCAAGAUGUGGAUCCUUAUAUUACCCUACAGGUUGCUAAAUUCCUAACAGCCGUCCUCUCGCACAAGAGACGGAACGGAAUGUUAGCUGAUUAUUGAUAGUCACAAGAAUUUUCUAUAAUGACAUCAGAUAUUGUUUUUAGUGUAGUGCCAAAAUUUUUUAAUCUUAAUCUUAAACUUUUUUAUGAAUGGCUAAUAUCCGUCCUUGUGAGUUGUGAACUGUGUUAUACUACUUGUGGUUUGUAUGAGUCCGCUGUUUUAUUCGAUUUGUUUUGUUGUGUUGUGCUUCAUGAUGGGCGUAAUAGCCAAAUAAACAUUUGUUGUUGUUGUUGUUGUAACAUGAGCUCCGUAGAUUAAGUGUUCACUGAGCAAGAGAAUUUUUAAAAGCUC
rnacentral:lncRNA from 1 species